UACAGAGGUCUCGAGCGUUAGGCGGAAUCACUGGGCUUAAAGCGUGUGUAGGCGGAUCGUUAAGUGCCUUGUGAAAUCCCACGGCUCAACCGUGGAACUGCUUGGCAUACUGGCGGUCUUGAGCAACCUAGGGGCGAGCGGAACAAAUGGUGGAGCGGUGAAAUGCGUAGAUAUCAUUUGGAACGCCAAUGGUGAAAACAGCUCGCUGGGGGUUUGCUGACGCUGAGACGACGAAAGCCAGGGGAGCAAACAGG
rnacentral:rRNA from 1 species